rfam:Bacterium B17 isolate B17 NODE_5_length_30176_cov_11.7592, whole genome shotgun sequence.
UGAUUACAGGAACUGUAUAAUCAAUACUCAUUCCGGUAUCAGCAAACGGAAGUCCGUGAAAACCGGACGCGGUCCCGCCGCUGUAAGCCCAACAAGAAUUUCGGCAGUUAAGCCACUGUCCCGGUCUACCGGAAUGGGAAGGCGCUGAAAAGGGCGAGCCAGAAGACGUGCUGUACCGAUAUAACGAAA